AUGUUAUCUUCAGCCAGUUAACCAGCCUGGGAGUCAGCUCUAACUGGAGCCCACAAGGUAAUCCAGGGGGUUAUGCCAAACCCGGUAAUGGCGCUGGUAAUGAUGCUCUA
rfam:Betacoronavirus HKT24 strain HKT24-R05005I, complete genome